rnacentral:misc_RNA from 1 species
CUAAGUUAUUGUUGACUUGGGUCUCCUUCUUCAGGCAUCUGGUUGUGUUCUGGGUCCCUUACGGUGCUUCUUUUAGCCUCUCUUCCCCUGAUGAAGUUACAGCUAGGGAUCUGCAAUGUUGCUCACCCAAUACCUUAAAUUUGUAGGGUUUGUCUCCAUGGUCUGCUUAUUUGGGGUGUUGUUUUGGGUACUGUUUCAAUAGGCGAUACGACCAUUUUUUUGGUUCCAUCAAUGCUUUAGCCUAAUAUUCUCCUCACUGGUGCCAAUCUGGCAAGUCAAGUUGUGGCACACAAGCUUCUCUGCUCAAUUUAGGCAUGGAGCAUUAUGCUCAUCUGAGCAACACGUAUUUAAGCAUGUAUCCAUCUGAUUAAUUUGAACCCUGAUUUUAGGUUGG